CAACCGUGCUUGUUUAGUUUUGUGUUCUUUCCGAUCGAGGGUUGUAGAAUGCGCUUUCUAGAUUCCUUGCGCCGAUUCUAGAUUAGAUGCUUACCCGAAGAUUGACAAUGAGUUCAGCGUCCGCACGGUCAGCGGCGCGGCAUUAACGCUCGUCAGUUCGAUUGUGAUUGUGGUGCUGGUGAUAGGCGAAAUAAAUGCCUACCUUUCUCCUAACGUAAUGACACGCGGGCAUAAGCUUAAAAUUAAUUUAGAUUUUACCAUACCGAGGAUAUCGUGUGAAUAUGUAUCACUGGAUGCGCAAGAUUCAACGGGAGAGCAGCAUCUGCACAUCGAACAUAACAUCUACAAACGAAGACUGGAUCUGCAAGGCAAUCAGAUCGAAGAACCAAAGAAAGAGGACAUUCAAGCGUCGACGAAGCGCAUAUCGAGUACAGAGGCACCGGCCAUUUAACUUUCAAACAAUUAGUGGAAAGUUAUAAAUAUGAAAAAAAAACCUAACUGAAGAAGAGCGAGUGGUUGAAAAUCGUGAAAAAAGUCGCAGAAAAACAUUGCUUGAAAGAGAACGAAAAAGAAAAGAGAUGGUAGAACCUAUCGCAUUACCUACGGUAUGCGUUAUCUCCGAUUUAUCCGAACUUUCGUCUCCGGCCACGUCAAUCGCCUCGUCUCCUGAAUCCACGAACUCAGAGUUUGAGUUUGACUCAGACUCGCAAUAUCCGCCACCGCAGCAACAACAGCACCAGGACCACGGUGUGCCACCAACGAUGGUGGCCACGAUGGCACCUCCACCAACACCACCUCCACCGCAACGACAGCAUCUGCACUUCCCGAUAACCAGCGUGGUGCAGUUAACGUCAUUUGAGCGGGAGGCGAGAAUAGACAGAGUGGAAAUUUCAAAUAUUAUAGCAAAUUAUUUAUUAAGGAAUAGGGCGAAAGAACAUAAUGUUAGUUUUAAUAAUAAGUUUUCCAACAUGAUACGUCAGAAAAAAGGAGGUGCCAAAAUGGUUAGGGUAAUAAUGCGGGAUUUAUUUACAGGCGAUUUUGUAAGGGAAUGUGUGUGGGAGCGUCCCCAAAAUGGGAAAAAUGUGUGCCUUAGUAAUUACAGUAACCUCUGGUGGGCCAUACAUGAUGCUAUCUGCAUAUCUUUUAGAUAUGCAGAUUCAUUUGAAGAGUUCAAAAAACAAUGGAAAACAAUCACAACCAGUUGGUACGAUACCGAUUAAGUUAAGUUUAUUCUCUUAUGUUAUAUAUUUUAAGUUUAGUCCAAGUUUUAGUUUAAGUUUAGUUAUUUUAAGUUUAAUUUAGUUUAGUUAAGUAGUCUUCGUUUAGUUAAGUUUAGUUUAGUUAAGUUUUUUAAGUUAAGUUAGUUUAGUUAAGUUAAGUUUAGUUAAGUAGUUUAGUUAAGUAGUCUUAGUUAAGUUAUUCGAGUCUUCAAAUUCUUGAACUUUUCAUAGAUGAGCUCACAAUCUUUUCAUUGAGUCAAGAAUUUUCAUAGAUGAGCUCACAAUCUUUUCACCGCUCCCUUGCGCACGGUCGAAUGAACCGCUUCGUAUCGAACUAUUUCGAUGCGCACAGUUUUCAUACGAUCGGCGUCGAGUUCCUCAACAAAGACUUACAAGUGGACCGCUGCAAGUGAGUACGGUGAUUAUGAUGAUGACGAUCGGCACUUUGUGAAGCUUCGGUAGCGUGCGUAGGCACGCCCAAACCUUGUCUGUCAGAGGAUUGCGUGUGGUGCCAGGCAGAUGGAUCUCUCGCUGGUCCCACAGUCCACGAGAGAUCUUUCGAUUGUUGACGGUGAGUCAAUGUGCGGGGGGAGUAAACAUUUCUCGUAGCCUAAUUUGACACGAUCCAAGAUGUCAGCCCGAUUCGAGCGGCAGGAGAUCGCGAGUAAGAAGUAAACAAGAAAGUUGCAAGGGCGCGACAGUGUUCGACACAAAGACCCCUGAGCUGUGGGGACGUGUUCGUGGGAGAGAAGGCCACCGGUCAGCCGCCAGAAGGAACGGCCAGCUGGCGCCUCUCUCCGGCCGGCCAGCAACACUCACUUUGCCCAAUCAGUAUGCAGGCCUGAAUUGAACAACGCUAAACAACAACUGGUCUAAACUUGUUAAACCAAUGUACCAAACAAAAACUGGCUUUCGAUUCGUUACCAAAAUGCCCGUUGAAUUAAGCAAAAGUUGAGAAGAUAAUUAAUUGAUAGACAAACGACGAUUUAUUUCAAUGUAAUAGAAUGUUAUAGUGCUGCAGGCAUCAGUUUCGGAUAUUUCAGUUCUAAUCUAAUAGCUUCGGUGCUAUUUUUUUCAAUUUGCCAUUACUGAUUGAAAUUAAUCAAUGGUACUUAAUAUCAAGG